GCGCAGUAGGCGGCGAAACUGCUGAACUAAAUCCCCGGGCCUCCUCUGGAUCUUUUUAGGAUGCUUGUCCUGGAACCCUGCUCCCACAGGUAAGGAUGCCGGACUCCGCCCUCGUGGACAAGCCCCGUGGAGGUGCUGUGGAAAGCGACCAGCUCAGCCCACAGAAAGCCCGCAGCCACUGCCAGUCACCAACCGGAAGACGAUCCUGCAUCCUGCAGCCGUUUGCUGAGCACCUACUGUAUGCUAAGGAUGCUGGGAAAGAACGGUGAGGAAACCUGGGUGCAGCCCGCGCCCUCCUGGCACCGCCUGGCCGGGAGGGAAAGAUAAUCAGAGCCCUGCUUUGCUCAGGCCCGGAUUUGUUUUUGUUUCCCUUUGGGCUUUGAUGCUAUCGCCAGAGGAAUUGGCCCGGAGUCCAGGCUGGCUGAGCCGGUUCCUGCUGCCGGCGGAAUUAGCUGGUCAGAGGGUCCGAUCCGUAGACGAAGGGGCGUCGAGUCGGCGCUAGGCUGUCCACCUCUCUGCUUGCCUCGUCCUCUGGUCUCGUCUGGUCGGCGGCGAUGCUCCUCCCAGCGGGAUCAGGUGUGCAGAUGUCUUGGUCGGUAGUCAGAUCAGCAGAUAGUCAGGUCAGCAGAUUGACUGGUCGACUGGUCGGUGGGACGGAUCGUCGACUUGCUUGAGGUCUUCAGCUCCUUUUAUACUAUUCUAACUGGGCGUUCGUGGUAUUGGUUCAGACUUAUCACACUGUCCAUUUCGGGGUACACCCUGUCCAGUUCAGUGUACGCCCUGUCCAGUUCAGGGCACACCCUUAUCAGUUCCAUACCGCUUAAGGUUCUACUUUCAUAUCUCAUGGUUACACAUCAUUAUGUUAUACUUAGGUUACAGCACUCUUAAAGUCACAGGACACUUUAGGGUUACAGCACACUUAGGGUUAUACAAUUCCAUCUUAUUUCAAGGUGUUCUCCACACCUGCGUUUGGGGUUCCAAAGGUGCCCACAGUCCUUGGCUUGUGGAUCUUCCCUCCGUCUUCAGAGCCACAAGCCCAGGGUCCCAGCCCUGUGUCCUGGCGUCUCCUGGUGAUAUAGCUGGAAAGGCCUGAGUCUGCGUACUUAGUGGUUAGCCAGGCCCACGGGGUUGGGCCAGGAUCCCACCCACGCAGAGUCCGGGACCCCACUUCCCAGAGCCCACGUGCGUGACAGUCACGGCUUCCCCGUGUGAGACGUGACAUUGGCAGCAGGAACAGUGCUGUUCUGCCGCCAGGGCCACAAUGAGUGGCAUUUCCUAGACACUGCAGGAUUUAUGGAGGACUAAAGGGUUGUGGAAAUGUUUACAGAGUCCAAGAAAGCGUGAGAGAGGUACAGCGGCCACACCUCGGAAGGUUUGCAACUUGAGAUUAUUUUAGAUUUCCGUGGGGAAUGACGGGCAAUUCAGGCUCCUUGCUGGCAGCCAGAGUAGGAGUCAUUCUUCCUCCUUUGAAUUUUAGAAAAGAUGCGUCCAAAAUAUACAGGGUCAGUGGAGUCUGAGUGUGAGAGGCCUCAGGCAGCGGUGACUCCCCAGGAAGGGGCUAGCGGGGCUGCAGCUGGCGCAGAGCAGGAACCAGUGUCCCCUGCAGGAGCCCCUGGCCACAAGCCAAGGUGCAAGCCCCGGGGACCUCGCCUUGGGGCUCAGUGUUCGAGGCACAAGCCCCAUGCUCGCUGUGGCCUGAGUUCCACCACCCUGGCUCCCCGACUCUGAGCGUCUCCCUGACUGCUGUGGGCCGCAGGCCCGUCCAUCUCCUGCCUGGAUCCCCUCAUCUCAAGGAGCCCGGCCCCCGUACUCAGGGACUCUCCCUCCUCCCAGCCCCUGGGCAUUAUGGACCUGCUUCCUGUCUGCCUGUGGAGUCCCUGCCCUGGACACUGGUGCUAGGAAACCCCACAGCAUGUGGCCUUCCUCCCCCCUGCCCUGUGCCCAGGCUCCUACAUGUUGCUGCCUAGACCAGCCCUUCUUCCUCUCUGGGGCCGGGCCUGGGUGAGCUCCUCUUGCCUGGAUGCAGGGAGUGUGUAUCCAUCUGUGCACUGCAGGCCUGGGCUGCCUCUCUGGGGUCACUGGUGCAGUUCAGAAAUGCCCCAGGCUGGGGGACCUCUGGGGGACCUUCCUGUGCCCUCCUUCUCCUGAGGGGACUUGGGGCACACAGGUGUCAGGGAGCCUGUCCCCACCCUCCAGUCCAGCACAGAUCUCAUAGAGGACCCUAGGCAGGAGCUUGCAGGGCCACAUGAUGGAAAGUGGCAUCCACCAGUGGCUGCCACCAGAGCUGGGGGCCUAGAGCAGCCCUGAGAUGCUUCACACGGGGCCUAGGGUGACCCUCGAGAGUACCAGACAUGGGGGGCAGAGAGGGGUUGCUCCAGCUGCCAGGGCUGUGCAUGGGGCUCUCCCAGCCAUGGCAGAGGGGACACAGCAGCACGGGCCCUGUGGAAGGACAUAGCACACCCUCCAGUGACACUGAUGGGCAGGCAGGGCAGGGGCAGGAGGAGGAAUUCCCCUCAGCCUCCCGGGCUCAGCCUCAGGCCCUGCAUGUCCCCAGCUGUGCUCGUGGAGGCCUGUGGCCACCGGCAGAGUGUGGCUAGCGUGUAUGCGUGUGUAGGCAGGUGUGGGAGGAGGCAGGUGUGCGUGUGUGCUGCCUUGUGAGCAUGAAUGUUUGUGUCUCAGUGAACAUGCCUGUGUGUGCAUGUGUGCGGGAGCCCGUGAUUGUAUGAGCAAGUAAGCACGUGUGUGCAUGUGUAAGCGGGGGUAUGAACGUGAAUGUGUGGCUGUGUGAGAGAGUGUGUCAGGGCACAGUUGCAGACAUGCGGUGUGUCGAAUUGGACCAGCACAGAUCCAGGGAGGCCAGCUGGGAUUCAGGGCCGCAGAAGAGGCGGACAGGGCGGUGACAGGAGGAAGGGGCCAGCGAGCACUGGGAGUCCCUGGGGCCCAGGAGCCCGAGCGGGAGUGGUGUGGGCAGGUCAAGUGUCCCUGUGUCCCUGGCCGCAAGGCAGCACCAUUGUCAUCCUGCAGAUGAAGGCUCC
rnacentral:lncRNA from 1 species